rnacentral:misc_RNA from 1 species
AGAGAAAAUGGGAGUUCCAAUGGGGUUUAAGCUUGUAAGAGGUGCUUAUAUGUCAAGUGAAAAUCAAUUGGCUUCAAGUUUAGGUUUUCAAUCUCCAAUUCACGAUAGCAUUGAAUAUACACAUAAUUGCUACAAUUCUUGUGCUGAAUUUAUGUUUGAUGAAAUUGCUAAUGGUUCAGGAGCUGUUGUUCUUGCUACUCAUAAUAUUGAG